rnacentral:lncRNA from 1 species
UAUACUGCCUGGACAGACUGUUACUAAUAAUGUCUAUGUGCAAGUUUUGCAGAGGUUGCACAAUGCAUUUCAAAGGAGACGGUAUGACAGGUGGCACCAACAAUGGUUUCUGAAUCACAACAAUGCACAAACUAUACAUUGUUGAUUGUGCAGCAAUUCCUUACCAAGAAAAGAAUUCCUACCAUCAACCAACCACUACACUCAAAGGUGUACCAAUGGGAGGGUCCCAGACCUCUGAUCAGAGGGGGCCUCCAAAGAAUUUUAAAUUUCAAGUAUAUGUAUGUAUAUGUAGAAAUAUAAAAAAGGGACUUUGUAUUCUUGGAGGAUGAUUACAUAUAAAUAUACCGUCAUAAGAU